GGGGAAAAAAAAGAACGUUGCGUCGAUGCCUUGGUUCUUAUGGGGGCUGACGCCCAGGUCUGUGGCUGAGGAUUUGAAUACCAACACUACUUCCAGUUUCUUUCCAGUUUCAAAGUUUGAGUCUUGGGUAUCGUAAGAGAUGGAGUAUACCUACCCAGAGCAAACCAUACCUGAAACAGAAACUCCUUAUUUAUAGAGGAAAUUUCUCAGCCAGGUGACAGUCACAGGAUGUAGACAACCCUGAAACAUUAAGCAGAAGGUUCAGUAACCAUUUUCGGAGCAUCUGUUCGUGAGCUAUGCUGUGUGAUGGGCCCCAGGGAGAGAGACCAGACAAGGUCUGUGCCUUUAAGAACUUAAAAUCUAACAGGGAAGAUGAUGGGGCGGGGGGAAUGGGAUGGAGUAGGAGUUUGGAGUUAGUAGGUGCAAACUAUUAUAUUGAGAAUGGAUAAACAACAAAGUCCUACUAUAGCCCAGGGAACUAGAUCCAACCUCCUGGAUACACAUGUUUAACUCAGUGACUUUGUUGUACAGCAGAAAUGGGCACAACAUUAUAAAGCAACUAUAGCAGUUCCCAGGCUAGGGGUUGAAUCGGAGCUGUAGCUGCCGGCCUCCACCAUAGCCACAGCAACACAGAAUCCAAGCCGUGUCUGCGACCUACACCACAGCUCACGGCAACCUCAUGGUUCCUAGUCGGAUUCAUUUCCACUGAGCCAUGAUGGGAACGCUGCAUUUUCCUUUUCACCUAAAUGGAACCACAGGUGUUUGCUUUAAACCAUACUGAUGAUGCCGGAAAGAAGUUACUAGGAUCAGGGUUCUUCAUGAAGCCAGAGAAUGAACUUCAGGAACACACAGGCAGCAAGCAAGCAAAGUCGUUAUUAGAGGAAAGCAAACAGCUCCCAGGACAGCUGGGAGGAGGAAGAGCCCCCUUCUCUAUUGUCCUAUGGGGGUUUUUAUCCCUUAAAGAUGGGGGGUACCAAUGUGGGGUCCAAAAGAUGUGGUUUUCUCCCCCUGGCCUUGCCCAGUUACCUCUAUCAGUCCUUGUCCAAUAGGGGUCUUAGGGGAGGAAAUGUCCCGUAAGUCUCAUGGUUUCUUUGCCCUUCUCUUCCCGUAAACUGAGUCACAGGGGUUAGAGAUUAAUGUCCAUCUGGGCCUAGGUACACUCCCUAGAGUAAACAAGGCCUGUGGGGAUGUUACUCCCUGGAGCCCUUAAGCCACACAUGUUAAUCAAUAGCCACAUCAAAGAAGGCACCGAAGCCUGGGCUCCUACACGGACCACCCGAGUUAAUAUUCUGCCUGACUGAGAGAUACCCAUACAGAGAUAUCCAGAGGUCAGGCAGAAAUGCAGGACUCGGAGUUCCCGUCGUGGCUCAGUGGUUAAUGAACCCGACGAGCAUCCAUGAGGACGCAGGUUCAAUCCCUGGCCUCGCUCACGGCGUUGCUGUGAGCUGAGGUGUAGGUCACAGACAUGGCUCAGAUCUGGUGUUGCUGUGGCUGUGGUGUAGGCCUGCGGUUACAGCCCAAUUUGACCCCUAGCCUGGGAACUUCCUUAUGCCUCGGGUGC
rnacentral:lncRNA from 1 species